UAAUACAGAGACCUCGAGCGUUAUCCGGAUUUAUUGGGCGUAAAGGGUCCGCAGGCGGUCGUGUGCGUCAUAUGUCAAAACUCUGGGCUCAACCCAGAAUCGGCGUGUGAUACGGCACGACUAGAAGCUGGGAGAGGCACAUGGAAUUACUGGUGUAGCGGUAAAAUGCGUUAAUAUCAGUAAGAACACCAAAGGCGAAGGCAGUGUGCUGGAACAGUCUUGACGCUCAGGGACGAAAGCGUGGGGAGCGAAAGGGAUUAGAUACCCCUGUAGUCCACGCCCUAAACGAUGAAUGCUAGAUAUCGGGAGUAUCGACCCUCCCGGUGUCGGUGAACCAAGCUAACGCGUUAAGCAUUCCGCCUGGGAAGUACGACCGCAAGGUUA
rnacentral:rRNA from 1 species